rnacentral:rRNA from 1 species
AUGUUCUAGCGGCGGACGGGUGAGUAACGCGUGAGCAACCUGUCCCUUACAGGGGGAUAACACAGCGAAAGUUGUACUAAUACCGCAUGAGACCACAGAGCGACAUCGCUUAGGGGUCAAAGGAGUAAUCCGGUAAGGGGUGGGCUCGCGUCCGAUUAGAUAGUUGGUGAGGUAACGGCCCACCAAGUCGACGAUCGGUAGCCGACCUGAGAGGGUGAUCGGCCACAUUGGGACUGAGACACGGCCCAAACUCCUACGGGAGGCAGCAGUGGGGAAUAUUGGGCAAUGGGGGAAACCCUGACCCAGCAACGCCGCGUGAGGGAAGAAGGUUUUCGGAUCGUAAACCUCUGUCCUUGGUGAAGAGAAAGAGACGGUAGCCAAGGAGGAAGCCCCGGCUAACUACGUGCCAGCAGCCGCGGUAAUACGUAGGGGGCGAGCGUUGUCCGGAAUGAUUGGGCGUAAAGGGCGCGUAGGCGGCCCGGUAAGUCUGAAGUGAAAGUCCUGCUUUUAAGGUGGGAAUUGCUUUGGAUACUGUCGGGCUUGAGUGCAGGAGAGGUAAGUGGAAUUCCCAGUGUAGCGGUGAAAUGCGUAGAGAUUGGGAGGAACACCAGUGGGCGAAGGCGACUUACUGGACUGUAACUGACGCUGAGGCGCGAAAGUGUGGGGAGCAAACAGGAUUAGAUACCCUGGUAGUCCACACUGUAAACGAUGAAUGCUAGGUGUAGGGGGUAUCGACCCCUUCUGUGCCGCAGUUAACACAAUAAGCAUUCCGCCUGGGGAGUACGGCCGCAAGGUUGAAACUCAAAGGAAUUGACGGGGGCCCGCACAAGCAGCGGAGCAUGUGGUUUAAUUCGACGCAACGCGAAGAACCUUACCAGGUCUUGACAUCCAGUAAAACUUGUAGAGAUACAUCGUGUCUUCGGACAUACUGAGACAGGUGGUGCAUGGUUGUCGUCAGCUCGUGUCGUGAGAUGUUGGGUUAAGUCCCGCAACGAGCGCAACCCUUAUUUUCAGUUACUAACAGGUAGUGCUGAGGACUCUGAAGAGACUGCCGGGGACAACUCGGAGGAAGGUGGGGACGACGUCAAAUCAUCAUGCCCCUUAUGACCUGGGCUACACACGUGCUACAAUGGCCACCACAGAGAGGAGCGAACCCGUAAGGGAGAGCGGAUCUCAAAAAAGUGGUCCCAGUUCGGAUUGUGGGCUGCAACCCGCCCACAUGAAGUCGGAGUUGCUAGUAAUCGC